rnacentral:tRNA from 1 species
AAGGUGUUAGUUAAUUAUAAUAUUGAUUUGUCAAAUCUAAGUUUCUUUUGGAGCAUCUUA